rnacentral:rRNA from 1 species
GUCCAUACAGUAAACGAUGGGCACUAGUCGUUGCGGGUCUUUACCCCCGCAGUGACGCAGCUAACGCGAUAAGUGCCCCGCCUGGGGAGUACGGCCGCAAGGUUAAAACUCAAAGGAAUUGACGGGGGCCCGCACAAGCAGUGGAGCAUGUGGUUCAAUUCGACGCAACGCGAAGAACCUUACCUGGGUUUGACAUGCCCCGGACCGCGGCAGAGAUGCCGUUUCGUAGCAAUACGCCGGGGACACAGGUGCUGCAUGGCUGUCGU